AUGGCAAGUGGGAAGAAUGGAGAGGAGACUAGUGCUGGAUCCAGGACAAGGAUACCGCUGAGUUUUGCGCGAUGCAUACUGGAUGCGUUACGUGCGGAAGCGAUUGGGGGCAAGUUGGGCCUUACCAAUGACAGGCUCCGCCCAGUGCUGAACAGGAUCGCUUGCUUAAAAGCUGCCGGGCUGACCAUCGAGCAAGUGGGGGCCGAUUUCCUCCGGUGCCGCAUUGCGCCGCUUCAGAAGAGGGGCAUGUUUGCUUGGGAGUACAAGAACUCCUCUGACAGGAUGCGACUAUACCCAGGCCCCGCCAACAACCUAAUGGUACAUGGUCACGGCUGGCUUUGUGAACAGCUGUUUGGCAACCUUGGUCCGAGGAGUGGAAAUUCUGUAGUCAUGUUGUGA
rnacentral:rRNA from 1 species